rnacentral:lncRNA from 1 species
GGGGAUGGAAUGUGGCGUGGGGACUCCGUGGGGCGCUGAGACCCCCAGAGAGGGAGUGGGGCUGCACCGCCGGGACGGUGUGAGGGGGUCCCAGGCUGGGGUUUGCCCGAGGGAACCCUGUAGGGGUGGUGGGCUGCGCCGUGUGGGCCCUCUGGGGGGGGUCCGCGGUGUGGAUCGCGCCCGUAGAGCCCCACCGGGGCGCUGAGACCCCGUGGGGGGACUGGGGCUCCAGUUGGGGCUGCACUAUCGGGGCCCCAUAGGGGUACUGGGGGGGUCUCUGAUCGGGGCUGCACUGUUAGAACCGCAUAGUGGUAUUGGAGGAGAGGCUCUGAUUGGGGAACCGUAGUGGUAUGGGGGGGGGAACGAGCCCUAUUGGAGCCGCCCCAUUGGGACCCCCCACAGGUCCCCACGCGGGGCCGGGCUCUCUCCGGGCAGUGGAAGGGGAGGGAGAGUCCAUUCCGGGGCCGUCCCACCGCAGAAGGGGGGG